rnacentral:misc_RNA from 1 species
CAACCCUCAAGCCCUGCUUGGUGAUGGGUCCCGCCCGCGCGGCGGGCCCGAAACUCGUGGGCGUCGUCGUUCGGCUCCAAGCGUAGCAAAACCCUCGCUUGGGUUGUCGGACGGCGGCCGCCCGGAACGAAUUUUUCUAAAGG